rnacentral:rRNA from 1 species
UCCGGUUGAUCCUGCCGGACCUGACUGCUAUCGGAUUGGUACUAAGCCAUGCGAGUCAUUGUAGCAAUACAAGGCGGACGGCUCAGUAACACGUAGUCAACCUAACUCGUGGACGUGGAUAACCUCGGGAAACUGAGAAUAAACCACGAUAGAUCAUAGUGCCUGGAAUGGCUUAUGGUCCAAACAGUUUACUGCCAUGGGAUGGGACUGCGGCCUAUCAGCUUGUUGGUGAGGUAAUGGCCCACCAAGGCGAUUACAGGUACGGGCUCUGAGAGGAGAAGCCCGGAGAUGGGUACUGAGACACGGACCCAGGCCCUAUGGGGCGCAGCAGGCGAGAAACCUUAGCAAUGUGCGAAAGCACGACUGGGUCAGUCCGAGUGAUUCCUGAUAAAGGAGUCUUUUGCUUGUCCUAAAAGCACAGGUGAAUAAGGGGUGGGCAAGUCUGGUGUCAGCCGCCGCGGUAAUACCAGCACCUCGAGUGGUCAGGACGUUUAUUGGGCCUAAAGCAUCCGUAGCCGGCUUUGCAAGUCUUCGGUUAAAUCCACCUGCUCAACAGAUGGGCCGCUGGAGAUACUACAGAGCUAGGGAGUGGGAGAGGCAGACGGUAUUCAGUGGGUAGGGGUAAAAUCCUCUGAUCCAUUGAGGACCACCAGUGGCGAAGGCGGUCUGCCAGGACACGUUCGACGGUGAGGGAUGAAAGCUGGGGGAGCAAACCGGAUUAGAUACCCGGGUAGUCCCAGCUGUAAACGAUGCAAACUCGGUGAUGCAUUGGCUUAUGGCCAAUGCAGUGCCGCAGGGAAGCCGUUAAGUUUGCCGCCUGGGAAGUACGGACGCAAGUCUGAAACUUAAAGGAAUUGGCGGGGGAGCACCACAAGGGGUGAAGCCUGCGGUUCAAUUGGAGUCAACGCCAGGAAUCUUACCCGGGGAGACAGCAGAAUGAAGGUCAAGCUGAAGACUUUACCAGACAAGCUGAGAGGAGGUGCAA